rnacentral:lncRNA from 1 species
UGUAGGCGAUGGCAGGAUGCAACUCGUCGCAUGCUGGCUGAUGGUGUAGCAUGGCGUUUGUUCAGAUGGGCGCAUGUCGCGUCUCUACGCGACUUGCAACUGAUGACGCGCAGGAGGUUUCAGUUGUGUUUUAGAACUCUUUAACGGAAGCUUGGUAGAAUAUUGGGAAGACGAGGGAUCGUUUACGCUCCUCACGUAUAACGAAUGAGCCCCUGCUCACUAGCAAAGAAAUUUGAACAUUGACAACAGCCUACUGUACUCGUUCAGGGGUUACCUCUUUCGCUAGUGCACCGGGCUUCCGGAUAACAAUCGCUUUCGCGUCUUUUGAUGACUCAACGUGAUGCCAGUGCAGGGGCGAAAGAGGCUGAUUCGCCUUACGAAUAUUUCUCGUGAUGUAUCAUUCCUCUUCAUUCUUGACUGAUGCAUGCUUUCCGUUUCAUCAUACAACUAGUGUGGGUCUGGUGUGGUGAGCUUCGUUUGGCUAUUGUUGGGCACGUCGUACGCCUUCAACGAUACGUAGAAUGUGGGAUGGGAAUCUGGAAACUGUAGUCGAAGGUUCCUGUUGGCUCAGGGCAUAUCUCGUAGCCGUGAUUGUCCAAAAGUGUCUCUAGCCGUCGCCCCUGGAUGCGCCAUCUGUGUGCGCCGUGUAUGUGGUCCAGCAUGAGUCGAGCCAAGGAGGGAAAGACCAACGGAACAGAUAUAUAUCAGGAGCCUGCUGGACGAAGGGUGUUCUGGUGGAAGGAAGAGAAUAGAUGGGAAGAGUUCCCACCCCAAACGCAAAUCCAUGCAAGUGCUGAGUGGAGACCGAUGUCACAGCCGGUCGAUUUGGCCUUUGUGAACAAACGAGGCCGGGGUACCCGGAACGAAAAGCCGGCAACAUGACAUAGAGAAGAGUCUGAGUUAAUCAUAGGCCUAGCAGCAGGCAUAAGCGGAACUGGGACACGCGGAUGAGAGUGCUGCAUUGCGGCAUCGGUUGACCAAUGAGUCCAUUCUGUGUAUGUGGGAUGUGAACCUGGGACAUGCAUACGUAGGAAGAUUAUCAUAAUGCUAACCAAGAAAACAACUGACCAAGCGCGAAGAACCUGUCCAUAUGGGAUAAGUUUAGAGUAUCUCCGAACAUAUCUUUACUAUAGAAGAUAAACCCGAAUACAGCCUCUAAGACUGCGGCGAGAAGGCAUCUGCGUUUCAAAGAAAAGGGAUAGUUACCCGGGAAGUUAGUGUUCUUAAGCGCGGCCGUGUGCGGAGGCGGCAUGGUGGUACAGGGAGAAAGGGCC